rnacentral:rRNA from 1 species
GAUGAACGCUGGCGGCGUGCCUUAGGCAUGCAAGUCGAACGGUUUCCGUAAGGAAGCAGUGGCAGACGGGUGAGUAACGCGUAGGAAUCUACCUCUAGGUGGACCAUAGCUUAUCGAAAGAUGGGGUAAUAGUCCAUAAUCAAUUUAUUGUAAAGCAAUUAACUUUGCGCCAAGAGAUGAGCCUGCGUCCUAUCAGCUAGUUGGCGGGGUAAAUGCCCACCAAGGCGAUGACGGGUAGCUGGACUGAGAGGUCGAUCAGCCACAACUGCACUGAGACACGGGCAGUACACCUACGGGUGGCUG